AAACAAAAGAUGAUUGAGCUGCUGAAAUCUCAUGGCGGUUUAUCUUAUGGUCAAAAUGGAAGUCACUUUGAACCAAAGCCUGUGCCACCACCGAUUCCAAAGA